ensembl:lncRNA
GGAAUUUAGUGCCAGCUACUAGAGCCAGGCUGGGGAUGUGGGUGCCCUUGGCCCGUAGUGCCAGCUGCUGGAGUGAAUGGGAGUCCUGAGGUCAGUAACUGGAGAGUCCUCUCUGGAAGUAAGAGGAUCUCAACAAACUCUGAGCCUGGAGUAGCAGCUACUGGGGGAUCAGCGUGAGUAAACUGAUGCCAGCUACCAGAACAAGUAGAAGUCCCAGCCAUGGGGCAGGAGUAAUGUGUGCUCCCAAACUAUGGAGGAAACACAGUGAGGGGGGCAGUGCAGACUCUCUACCAGCAACAGGAGCAGGGCCAUGGGUUGGUCAUGCUUCAUAUGCCUGGAGCCAAUUGCUUGAGGAGUCUAGUGUCUGUAUCUUUCCCACCUGUUGCGCAUGUGUAUUCUCUAGCAAACUUUAAACUGGGCUUGCCAGUACACAGUAACGGCCUCAGAUCUGGGCCAGGUAUCAGGCACACAGUGGGUUUGUGCUGGUACAGGCAGGAGGACCUGUGAAUGUGGUGUGCAUAAGGAAUGAGUAUGUGAUGUAUGAAAUGGAAAAGAGGGCCUGGCAUCUGUGCAAGGGUGCUGAGUGGAGAGAGGAUCUCUGAGGUACAUCUGCAGCUUUACUACCAGUUCUCCAGUGGUAAAGAAGCAGCAGCAGCUGAGUCCUCAGCCUAGGUAGAGAUCUAGGGUCGCUGGGCACCAGACUGGGCCCCAACAGCCAGGCGCAAGCAGUCCCCAAGGCCACCUGGAAGAGAUGGCUGUGCUCCUUACCUCACUUAGCAAUUUAACUUUCAGUCAGAUGUAGUCUGAGUCACUCUUUGGAUAGAAGCAACAUCUACUUAAAAUCUUAUGCAGAUUUCAUUUACAUCUCAGUUCUACAAGUCUGAGGGAGUGGAGGUGCUUUUGCCUACUUAGCUUUCAAGAGGAAGCUCUGAGAUGCUGCUGGGUUUCCCAGGCAAGUUCUGCAUGAUCACAACUAUUUUACACCAAAGAUAAUGAUCACAGGUGAAGGCUAUUCUGUUAAUUGCCUUCACUCUGUUCCACAGCUAGUUAAAACCUGCAAGGGCAAGAUGCAGAACUGUGUGUUAUCUCUUUAGCAGACUGAAGCUCUCAAUUCAUUACAGCCUGCAGAAAGGAAGCAUGCAGAUUAGAAGAGCACCUAUUUGGUGUGCUUGUAGGAUACAGAGAUCUCAAUUUUAAAACCAUCCCUAUUCAAGCACACUAAUGUCUUCUCUGGAAUACAUCCCCACACCAAAACAGCUGGUACUGUGUGUGCUUCAUACUGACUGAUAGGGAAGAAGAUAUUCCCCAUACCAUCUUCUCCUGCCUGCUAAAGCAUCAAACAACCAAGGAUUGGAGAAAUCUUCUGUGGCUCCUCUUAUAUACCCUGAGGAAGUUUUGCCAGAGGUGAACUAGAUCUUGCUCAAGUGUUUGCAUAGGAAGUUGGCCACCUGGAGGUAACGAUGAGGGAGGAACUUCUCUUGUCUCUUUUGCUGUCCUUAUAUCAAGAGACUCUUGUAAGCCUCUUUUAAUAUAAAGCCUCUAUUUUCUGUUGGGUUCCUCUGUGGAAGAUAAUGAUCUUGGUAAAAUGUUUACCUAGACUUCCUUACACAAAGAGCUAUCAUGACAAUGUACUUUCUUAAGUAUGUAAUUUUAGUCAGUAAAAAAGAAACGUGUGGUUCCAGACAGGGAAAAUACUAUUGCUGCAUUUUUUUUCUUUUACUGUCUUAGCGGUUGUGAAGGAAGAAAUACGUGAUUCAGUUGAUCUGCACAUACUGUUGCAGUUUGGUCAGGCAAAAUAUCCUGAGACAUCUUCUGUGUUGAUACUUAUCUUUGGAGACUGGUAUUAUGAGCUAAACUAAGAGAGCAUGUAAUUAACAUUUAUAUGCACAGUAAUUUAAAUUAUAGUAGAAUGUAUAGGAUCUUUAGAAGGCCAUAAGACAGCUAGUUUUAAUUCAGAUAUCCUAAGAUAAUGUAGGUAGUGUCCAGAUAAACAUGCCAGUACUGCUUGCUUUGUUCAUCUAAAUAUAUUGUUAUUUUGCCAAUUUUCUAGAGCAAUGGAGUAGUAAAGUAGAGGUCAAAAUAGAUUCUACAAAGCAAUAUGCAAUUCAAUUCUUUAACCCUAACCCAAGUGUGGGAAUUAUUAAGAGUUCUGGGAUACUUUAUUGAGCCUACAGCCACAAGUCAGUAUUUUCUUAGAGAGAGAGAGAGAAUGAUGAAAGAAUAAUAAAAUCAUUAUGUGAUAAUUUACACCAGAAGUGCAAAAGCCCUGUUGUAUCCAUGCACCUAAAUAUAGGUUGAACAAAAAAAAAGGGGGGGGGGGGGCAGUUAAAGCAAUUUCCAUCCUCAGGUUAUGUUACAAACCUUGUAUUUAGUGAAAGGAGAAUGAGUAGCUUCCUAAAAGCACAGAUACUCAAGGUGAUCAUAUUCUGUAUGCUGUAGUAAGAGGGGAAAAAAAAGCUAUAAAGACAGUAUUUAUCUUUGCUGAUGGUAACCUAAUUAACCAUAAACUGUACUAAAAUGCAGCAGUGUCCAAGGAUGACUUGCUCCUUCUGUACUGACAGGCAUAGAAAUGUUGGCAAUAAAUUUAAGCUGUAAGGCUAUAUUCCAGUAUCUUCUAAUUUAUCUGCAGAGUGUCAGCCUCUAUCAGCUGGCGUUGACCGAAACAGGGCAUAAAAGGACAGAUGUACCAAUUUUGUACUUCAUUUACACAUUGGAAAAGAACAAGAUUCUUUCUCUUCCCCUGGGAAGAUUUAAAUAGUCACUGACUUUAGCAAACAAAUAUGUGAGAGGCAUAAGGAUGCUUCAUAAGGUUCUGGUCUGGAAUUAGUAUGGAAUAUUUUUAUUUUUUAAGUAGUAGUUAAUACUGACAUUUAUUUUUCAAAUUAUUUGGUUUCCAAAUUAUUUCAACUAAAAAUAAAAGCAAUUGUGAGGAAAAUUCUGAGAAGAAAUAACAUACAGGUUUUUAAGCUCUUUUUAAAUCUUGAUUUUUUUUUUUUUUUUUUAAUGUGUGCAACAAUGGUUUUGCUCAGAGCUACAGUUUCUUGUGGUAUGUAGUAUUUAAGUUUGUUUCUUUUGGAAGAACUGAAAGUAAAAUCAAGGAAAUGAAUGGAACACAAGAUACUUGCUUAUGUUCCUGAAGGUGGUAGCUCUGCUGCCUUCCCUCUAUGAAGUAUAUGCGGAGAUGCAGUAGGAGAUCUGAUCCAUGGCUUCUGAAGUACAGCAUUUGCUAUCCUGUAUAAGUGAUAAGUAAGAAGAGCACAUCCUUAGUCAUGUAUGAAUAAUACUAGGUUCUUUCUUGCACAUCUAAUUGACCAAGAUGGGAAAUAAAAGUAAAACAGUCUUAAAACAUGAGCAUGUUCCCUGGACAAAUCUUAUGGCAGUGUAGCCAUGUGCUUGGAAAAAAGUAUUUUGUUGAUGAUUGAGUGAUAAUAACAAAAUAGCAGUAAUCUGACUUUUGGAAGGAAAAUACUUCAUUUAAUCAGAAAUUAUUUUUUUCCUGGGUUUUUGGUUGUUUGUUUUCCAGAAAAGAAAGUUAAUUGUUUCAUUAAAACUUAUUUUAUGGAUUUCUUCCCAGCUAAGACCCUCCUAACAUUUAUUCACAUUUUCAUGGACUGUGGACCAUCUUUCUAAAUUCUUCUCUACAAGACACAUUUUCUGAAACAUUUAUAACCACAGUCUAGCCUGAGAUGGAAACAGAUGUUGAAUUAGUACAUUUUGACACUAUUUAUUGGAGAAAAAAAUAAGAAAUGAUAAAUUAAGAUUGUCAAGGGGAAGAUUAAAAUGAUAUAUUCAAACUGGAGCUGAACUUGGCAGGGGGCACAACGAAUAAUAAGAUGGGAGUCUGCAGGUACAUUAGUCAGAAAAGGAAGACUUAAAAAGUGUACUCUCUCUGAUAAGCAAGAUGGGAUAACUGGUGACAGCAGACAAAGAAAAGGCUGAGGUACUCAACAAUGUUUUUACUUUCGUCUUUGCUGGCAGUCACUCUUCCUAUGUUUCUGUAGUCUCUCAUGUCCCAAAUGUCAAGGUAGAGACUGGGAGAAUUAUGUGUAAGCAAAGGUUGAAUUCAUGAUCACCAGCUGAACCUGAACAUGCAUGUUUCUAUGGGGCCCUGAUGGGAUGCAUCCUGGGGUCGUGAGGAAACUCGCUGAUGUAGUUGCCAAGGCACUCUCCAAUAUGUUUGAAAAGUCAUGGCAAACAGGUGGAAACCAAUGACUAAAAGAAGGAGGAAAUCACACCUAUUGUUAAAAAGGAUAGAUAGACAGACCAUGGGAACUACGAGAAUGGUCAGCCUCACCUCUGUACCAUGGAAAAGAUCCUCCCAGAAGCUAUGUUGAUAUAUGUAUGUGGAAAUGGGUAUGGAGAUGAUUUGAGAUAACCUACAUGGCUUCACAAAAACAAAUUGUGCCACCUACUGGCCUAUGGUGAGUGAUUGCAUCAGUGAGUUGCUGUCAACAGCUCAAUAUCUACAUGGAGAUAAAUGAUCAGUAGUGGUCCUCAAAGGGCAGAUAUUGUUUAAUAUUUUUAGUAAUGACAGUGGAUUUGAGUGCACUGUCAGCAAGUUUGCAGAUGACAGCAAGCUGAGUGGUAUGCUUGACAUGAUAGAUGGAAGGAAUGAUAUUUACAUGCAGAGUUGAGAAAUGGGACUACAUAAUCCUCAGCAAGGCCAGAUGAGGUGCAUCUGGGUGAGGGCAACCCCAAACAUCAGUAUGGACUGGGUGAUUAAGGGCAAUUGUGUGGAGAAGGACUUGGUGUACUGGUGGGUGGAAAGCUGCUGUAAAGUCUUCCUGUGUAGCUCCUGAGAAAUCAACAAGUAGGCCAUCUUAUUGCUAGAAGUAAAACCAAUUAUCAUUACUCUUUCUCACGUUAACUCAAAUAACAAAUCUCUCCAAAAUUACACAUCAUAACAAUAAAUAUAUAAAUAACUAAGCAAAGUCCACUCAUUUGGUGCAAUCGCAUAUAUUAAUAAGACUGCUUUAGAAUAGUCAGAAGUGCCAUCUGCUGCUACACACAAGAAUCUCACUCUCUCAGUCACCUCUGGGAGGAAAGGAACUCAUGUUUAAGCAGUAGCAUCUGUGUUUUUAGGAAAAUAAUAAACUCAAUAUUCAGCUCAUACCAAAGUCAGAUGUAGUCAUUGUAGGCAUUGGAUUUACUUUUAAUCAUAAUGUAACCUUACACAAGCACAUUUUUCAUUGCUUCUCUUAAUAUUUAAUGUGCUUACAAGGACUUUACAAUCUACAAGGUCUGCUCCAAAACUAAUGGCUUCUAUUUUAUGUUGGUGCACAAUGUUAGAGGCAGAUGCUGAUAGGAUGGCAGCAGAGGUUGAACCUUCCCACCAAUAUCCCAUUACAUGUUGUUGCUGUGUGACAGAUGGCAGCAGAGGGGACAUCUGACAGAAUGGAGUCUGCCAUGGUAGUGUGCAUGGAACAAAGGUAUGCAAUUGGAUUCCUCGAUGAAGAAGAAGCCAAAGAAAAAUGUACAGUGAUAAACACAAAAUAAAACUCCAUGAAGGAAAAUCACUUAUCAGAUGGGUCUAGAGGAAAAUUCAGUGAACUAAAAUACUUUGAGUUAGAUGGUCAUGGAAUUGAUCUUGCAGCAAGAGAUUAACGUUUUCAAGUGCCUAACUACAGCUGUUCAACUUCUCUGUUGCUGCUGGUUCUGCGAUUCCUCCACCUGCUGCUAUCUCAUCUGCGCUCCUCCUGGAACUACUUCUAAGAACACAGCCAGAAAAUUCUAGCCUUACUGGCAGGUAAAAUACAGCAAUAACCCAAUCAGGAAAGUUUCUUUUAGUGCCUUUGCAUUUUCAAAAGGUAGAUGCUACCUGAAUUCCCUUUUCCACAGUGAAAAUUUAUUUACCUAAAAACAGGCUUUUCAGUACCAUGAACAGUGAAAGUUCAUGUCAAUUUUACUUAGUUUCAAGUCAAAAGAUAGAACUGAAAAGUAGAACUCAUCAAAGGCAACAAAUUAUGUCUGUAUAUGUCAGUAAGGCAGUAUGCCAGAUAAAAGUGCCAAUAUGUUUUGUGUGUUGCAUAUGUUAGUCAUAUCAUAGAAGAAAGCAGAAAUACGUCUAUGUCAAUGUUUUGCAGCCCAUCAUCAUGGAACAUCAUCUUUGACUUUUAGGAUGUGAGAAGGAGUUGAAUUUAGUAAGAUACGCUGCACGGAUAAAGCAUGAUGAGUCAAAGUGAGCAGUAUCUAGAGCAUGACCAAGGAACAGUAGAAUAAAGGAUUCAGCCUGAAAAGUCGUGUGUAUAUAUAUAUAUAUAUGUGUGUGUAUGUGUGUGUGUGUAUAUAUGUAUAUGUGUGUGUGUGUAUGUGUGUGUGUAUAAAUAAAAAGGCUACAACCUGCUGGAGGUGCUUAACCCUUUUCCAUUCAUAACAGAGUAAACCUGGAUGUGUCACCACCAGAACUUAGCUUGCUAGCAAUGGGAUCUAUCAGUGCUGCUCCAAAAGUCACCAGUGUUUGUGUCAAUGAGGUGUGGGAAAUGGUGGGGUACACAUGGAGCUGAAACUCCUGCAUCUCAUAGAAUCAAAGAAUCAUUAAGGUUGAAAAAUACCUCUAAGAUCACAAAGUCCAACCUCACCCUAUCCUCACCAUACCCACUGAUCAUGUCACUCAGUGCCACAUCUCCACCAUCGCCUCCAGGGAUGGUGACCCCCCCCCCCCCCCCAGCUCCCUGGGCAGCCUGUGCCUGUGCAUCACCACUCCUUCUGAGAAGAACUUUUUUGUAACAUCCAACCUGAGGGGCUCUCGCAGAGGAUGCUCAAGGAGGGGAUCCUGCAGUGCUAGAAGAAGGAAGAUGGGCUAGUAACAGACACAGCUCCACAGGAUGUAUGCACCUGUGUGUAUAUGACUGUUUGUGCAUACUGGAAAUUUUUUUUUGGACUAAUCAUGGAUAGGUUUUAGAAAUUUGUAUAUUUAACAGCUGAUGAAUGCCUAGUAAUGUGGUUUGUAUGCUGUUUUACUGAUAUUAAUCUUGAAUGCAUAGCUCUGUGAUUGCCAUUUAAUUUUUUAAUUAAGAAAAAAAAAAGAAAACAACUUAGAUGCCAAUCUGAGCUGAGCUAUGUGAGCAGAGCAGUUUAUUUUCUCAUUGCAUUCUAUGACUUCCAUAUCAAGUAUGGCUGGCAUGGGCACCAAUUAUAUUUGGUAGCACUCCAGGAAGCUCUGUGAGGGAUUAUUUACUCUACUUCUUGGCACAUCUGUUUUUAUAAUACGACCAUAAGUUCUGUCACCGAUUUCAUUUCUUCAGUGUGAAGUGGUGAUGACAGGCAGAUCUCCAAUUCCCUGCAGUUACGUAGUUUGCAGAAUUUACCACUGAAGUACUGCCUGUUGAGGAAAAAUAUUCCAGAAUCCACAUACUGAUUAAAUACGAGUUAUUUCUAGUUGUAAAAGUAAACUCUUUGGAGUGCUAGUAGUGAACCUGAUGAUAAAAUAAUGCUUGCAGACAGACUGCAGAGGUGUUCUCUUUUUAGACUGCCAGGAUGAAAGCUUGUAAAAAAAGUUUUGUCACCCUCUUGUCAAAGCUGUGUGCAAACACUCCCUACAGCUCGCUCUCCAGCACUGCCCACUGCAGAUCUGAGUGGCUUUCUGGGUGACGGCAGGAAGGAAAAGGAACUGGGUUGUUUGGGAAAUAGAGCUCAAAAAGCCGUUUUCCUUUCUCCAGAUGUAGGAUGGGAACUUGACAGGACCUUCCAUGUGCCAGAAGCAUCCCGGUUCUUUCUGUUAGGAUGUAUACCUCAAAAUAAUUAACAAUUUAAUAACAUAUUUGUAAUGUUUAUGUUGCUUCACACUACUGCACCAGAAAAAGCAGUCCAGUCCUGCCAAACUAUCAAAACCUCCAGCUUCAACCUAGUUGACUUGAUGAGGAAUUAGUGACCAAGCAAAUUAGGUGUGGACACAAGUACAACACUGCUAUCUAGCUAUGCUGCUGAAUUGCAGUGCUAACGCACUUAUUUAAGAUGAAUUCCUGAGCUCCUGUCACACAGCGCCUGUCCCAGACAGGCUGUGCCUCUGGCCACGUGUCUUCACAGGAGCAGCUGAGCUGAUGGCCAUGACAGGCCCUGCUGUUUGUCAACAGAGGAGAGCGUAAGUGAAAAGGUGAAUAACUGCAUUACCUGAAGCACGUGACCCUACUCUCUGCAGACACAGCCAACAGUGUUCCCAUACAUUUUUGCCCAAUGCUCUAUGGAUGUUUACAGAGACUUCUGCAAAAGCAGCAGCCUGCAUGAAUCAUGUUCUGUGCAGCUUCAAUGAGGCAAGAAUAAAUCAACUAAAUCUAAACCCACAGGCUUUGUAAUUCAUAUUGAUUUUGCCCCAGUGAAUAUUUUGAUACUGUGUCCUGCAGGUUUUCUCUGGCCUGGAUGCAGUUUCACUCUUUUCCUUCUUGUUCAUUUCUCAGUUUUCACAGCAGAGAACAUUCUAUUUGAUCUUUUAGCACUUGCACUUCAGAGAUGUGUGAAAGACAACUGACAGUAAUGCUUGACUGAUCUGGACCAUGUUCUGCGCUGAUCUGCCUAAACUGCAACCUCCACCUGACCCAGAAUUACCUGCAGCUACACAAAGACUAUUAUAAUCCAGGGGGCAUAACCCUCUAUAAAUACAAAUGUGGGAAGCCUGAAAGGUUUUAAGUAUCUUACGGCAAUCGCAGACUUAGAUUUGCGAUUCGAUAGAAAUGGCCACCGUGCUCCGUGUUGACACACAAUUUCUGGUCUGCAAUGCUUUUGUUACUUGAGUAGGUGCUCAGUGCAAACAGAACAAGAAGAAGAAAAAAUACUCGCAGAAAUUCUUAUUUCUUCUUCUUUUUUUUUUUUUUCCUCAUAGUUUGGAUCCUUGGACCAAUAAUUGGAUAUAUAAUAAAUUAGAAUUCCUUGACAUCUUGGGCUCAUCUCUAAAACCCCAGCUAACAGUUUUAUACUGAGUAUCUUUAGCCCCUGUUUUUCAGAACAGGGAGAAUGAAAGCAUUUGUUUGAGGGCAAAAGGGGACAUUAUUUAGGGCUGUUCAGGAGACAUCUAGAGUGGUGUGCUUGAGAAAUGCUGCAUGGAGAGCAGCUUCUGGGAACAGGUCUGUCUGCUCUGAAUUGCUGCAGCAUGGCAAUUGCUGUAAUUGAGAGAAUUAAACUGUGCUCCCUUUACUAUGGACUCAGUGGACGUAUCUUUGGUUUCUUUGGAUAAGCGUGUUCUAUGGCAAUUUAAAGUGAAAAAAAAAUAAGAGAAGUGGAUGAGGAGGGACCAGUUAAUUGUUUCUAUUGUUUUUGUGCAAAUAGACAGCUCUUCAGAGUCACUUUAGUCAUCCAUAGGAACUACUUAAACUGAGGAAUGCUGAGGUUUUUUUCUAAUUGGAGCCACUGAUAAUGACGUUAUUUUAUUUAUUGCUACACUGACGUAAUAUUUCAUAUUUAACUGCAGGUUAACAGAUUCAGCCUGCUUUAAUCAUUAGCAGAUAAAAAAUGGAAACCCUGAAUUCUCAUAGAAGAACAUUUUCUUAUAUUUUUUAAAAGAAUUUGAUUCAGAAAAAGGCUGAAAGAGACACAGAUUCUCUCCUGCCUGAGAAUCCAAAGAUGGAAAGAAUAGACUAGGAAGGCAGUUGUAAAGUUAAUUUAUGGUAUCAAGAGUCUUUAUGCUGUAAAUAAUGUAUGUGUGAUUACAUGGGGCCUCAAGUGGUGCAAUCCCAGUGUCCUGAUUUUGGCUGGGAUAGAGUUAAUUUUCUUCCUAGUGGCUGGUGUGAGAUGCUGUGUUUUGGAUUUAGGAGAUAAAUGUGGAUAAUACACUGAUUUUGUUGUUGUUCUGAGCAGUGCUUACACUAGGUCAAGGACUUCUCCAGCUUCUCAUAAUGUCCUGCCAGAGAGGGAGCUUGGGGGGACUCAAGGAGCUGGGAGGGCACAGAACCAGGACAGCUGGCCCAAACUGGCCAUAUGAUGUCCUGCUGGACAGUAAAACUGAGAGAGUUGGCCGGGGAGUGGGGGGGACAGUAGUUCUGCUUGGGAUCUGCCUGCGCAUCAGGCAGCUGGUGGUGAGAACUGUGCUGUGCAUCCCUCGUUUUGUGUAUUAUUAAUAUUCCUUUUUUUUUUUUUUUUCCUGUCCUAUCAAAUGGUCUUCAUCUCAACCCACGAUUUUUACUCUUUUUCUGGUUCUCUUCUCGAUUCCACUGGGGGGAGGGAGUGAGCAGCUGUGUGGUGCUGACCUGUCUGCUGGGUUCAACCGUAGCACCCUGGAAAAAACAGCGGCAGAAGCUGAGCAGUGCCUCGGGCUGGAGAAAUAUUUUUCUGUAAGGUGUUUCCCAGACAUCUUCCACACUUGCAUGACAUAUACAGGAUCUAAGCAGUUUUUCUCUUCCUAUGCUAUGAUAUGGGUUCUUCCAUACCUCCUGUCCACAUGUGACACUUCCUCUUUGCUCCAGCCUAAUUCUUCCCUUCCAGCCCAUGGGAUGCAAUAGCAGGACACACACCUAGGGAGAUUUGUUUCUAGGUUAGGCUAAUGGCAAAUACCUGUGGUUCAGUUCUGUGAGGUGUUCAUGCACUUGAAUUUGUUUCUCUUCUUUCCCUCUUUCUUUUCAGAUUCUAACAAAAACUACUAGUCUUUUUUUUUUUAAUCUAAUUUUUCUUUUUUUUUCCCCUCACAGUUGUCUCCUGAUGUCCCCAGUGUAAAUCACAUACAUCAUUACACAGCAGUUAGAGACAUGCUAUAGAUCAUCUGUUCUUCAUUUAUGAAUGAUUAGCCAUUCUCUUUUUGAAACACUGCUGGGAAGCAGUCUUUGAUCCUGAUUGCCUUUGGCUAGACCUCCAGACGUUGGCUUAGAUAGAAAUUUUGAUCCUAGACUAAAAAUGAGCAAGUGUUAGAAACAAAUGCGCUUUUAUCCAUAGAAAGGAUAUAAGGUCAAACUUCACUCUGGGCCCUCAACACAACUCAACUCAGAAGGAAAGUAGAGAAAGGCAACUAUUGAUUAAUUAGUACAGGUAGCUCUCGAAUUGUCAGAAUGCCAUAUUCACCAUUCAUUAGGAACUAUUUGCUAAAUUCAGAAUGCUAUCUUUUUGGUGUGGGGCACAAGGAUUGAGUACCUUAGUGAUGUGAGAUGCUUCAUUUUAAAUAGUAAGCUAUGGAUGUAUGUGAACUGCUUCUGAUAAGAAUGGAAGAUUUAUCUUUAGAAUGAAUAUAUAUAGUGGCUAAAUCUGUAUAUGCAGCUUUAUAUUUUGCAAAUAUUGUUUUCUCUUCAUUGCUUUCUGUUGGAAGGCAUAUGAACUAAAACUUCUUUUGUUAAAACAUAAAAAGGAAAAUAAAUUUGUACAAAUUAGAAGCAAUUUUUUAUGUUUUUUAAUCAAAAUUUGCUAAAAUUCUGUGAAUCUCUUUCAAAAAAAAUUGCUUUUGUUUCCUUCUUUUCUUUCUUUUUUUUUUUAAAUAAUUUACAUUGCAUGAUUUUUACUUGAGUCAAGAAUUUCAUUGUAAAUAGUCAAAUGACCAUCCUGUUGUUUUUGUUUGGCCUGGAUCAUAAGGUAAGCAGAAGACAUUCUUUCACAGAUGAAAUCUUUGGUACAACACAGAAUGUUUCAACUGAGUUCUUUUGCAGAACACGAGUCAGAAAGAUAGAAGUUUUCCACCCAAAGUCUGUCUUUAUUUUAAGAUUUCUGACCAACUAUUUAAGAAUAACAAAAAAUACUUUUCACUUUGGCUCAUAUUGGAAAAUGAGUUUCCAGCCAAGCAGGUAGAAAGUAACUUACACUGCUAGAUAUUGUAAAAAGCUGGAAUAACUCUAUAACAGCAUGCAAAGCUGGAAUAACUCUAUAACAGCAAAGUAUUGGAUCUUUCUUUGUCUAGUCAUGAAAUUUAUUCCAUGUAAUAUAUAUGUAAUAUAUGGAGUUGGCUGCAGGGAGACUUUUUAAUUGAGUUCCUGUUCCUGUUUUUGAUGUUGUUGGUCGGUUGGUUGUUGCUGUUAUUUUAUUUUCACUGGCUACAUAUUAUUUGAUCCUUUGAUUUAAUGAAAUUUAACACUAGUGACAGUGAACCCUAACAUUGUUUAUAAACUUUCUUUUUCUGUUUUCUUAUGUUUCCAGUUCUGCUGAAAAACAGAACAAAACAAAACAAACCUGUCAAAUUUCAUGGUCACAUUAAAGCAAUACUUUGUACCCAAUAUGAAAAUUGAAUUUGAUAAUUUAUUUUAUAGUCUUGGGUAAUUUUCAUUUAUGUCUUUUUUUCGUAUUUGUAGGAAUCGAAUAUGCACCAUACCAUUAUUUUUCAUUUUGGCAUAUAGUGGCAAAUAAGCUUCCUGUAGGUUAAAUCAUAUUGGAACCAAGAGUAAUAAGACUGGAACCACAUAGUGAAUUUCAUCCCAAAUGUGCAUGCUUUCAGCCCAGAAAUCCAACUGCAUCCAGGAGUGCAUCAACAGAGGGGCAGCAGCAGGGAGAGAGAGGGAGUUGUCUCUCUGUUUACCCCUCAUGAGGCUUCACCUGGAGUGCUGUGUCCAAACCUGGGGCCCCCAGCACAAGAAGGAUGCAGAACUGUCCCUUCAAAUCCAUAUCUCUCCAAUUUAGAAAUAAGGAUGUGAUAUGGGACCAGGUCAAAGGCCUUUGUCACAGAAUAUGAUUUACAAUAUCUUAAGAAAGAGAAAGUAAAUGACAGUCUAAGAGAAAGAUCAGACUUCACUGCAACUGCAUUACUCUUGAAAUCUGCCUGACCCAUAGAAGAUGUUUCACCCUAAGCACAGCAAGGUUUCAUAGCAUGAAAGUAUUCUUUUGCAUUUUUGAGAUAUGACAUCCCAUAGUAGAUAUUGCACAUUAUAAGCCAAUAUACUCUGUCACAUAAUGUUUUAGGUAAAUUUAGCUUAUAUUUAAGGAAAAAGAAGUCUGAAGUUAUUUUUGUCUUGACCAAUUACGUUCUUCAAAUAAAUAAAGGUAAUCCAGUCUGCAAGGAAUCUCAGAUCUUCUAGCCAAAUUCAUGCAAAGCAAGACUGGUCGUGUCAUUACGCGAGGCUGCUCAAAGCCUUGUUCAGCUCUGUGUUGACUAUUUCCAAGCAUGGAGAUUCCAUAAAAAUUACAGACCUGAUAGCAUUCAGGAAUUAAUUUCACAGUACCUUGGCAAUGCACAUCUGCAAUUUCAGAGUCCUAUACUGUUUGUUUAUAUAGAUCUUGGAAAGAAAAUGCCAAGGGGGUUAAGGAUGUCAGUGCAUGAAGAGUCCACGUAACCACCCUACGCUUUUGGAUAGAAGAAUGGGGAUAGGCCUUCUGCACACACUUUUUUUUUCUUCUCUGAAGUGAACACUUGAACUUUAGGACACAAGAAAACAACUCCCAGAAUUUUUAGAUAACUUAAAUCUCUCCAAGCCUACCUUCUGCCAGUAUUAGAACACCACAGUAAACAUGCUAAAAAAGGACUACUGUUCCCUUAUAUUAACUUUCCUUCCUUUUAUUUCCAGUUCCUCUUUCUCAUCACUCACUAGAAUUACAUAACCUUUAUGUUACCUUAUGAACUCAAAGGUGAUGUACUUUCCUGAAUGCAGUCUUUCCGUGGAUAAAUGGAGUAUAAGGAAUACAUGAGGAAUGUUUACCUAGUUAACACAUUUUAAUUCAUCAUUUAGAAAGAGAAUUUUCCUUUCCCUUAUCUCCCUGCAAUUAUCUAUACAUUGCACUGUAUCAUGCAACAUUUUAUGUAGAUAAAGCUUUGUAAUAUUGUAGUUGAGCAUUAGUUAUUUAUUUCACCACCACUUAGUGAUUAUCAGUGUUCAAUCCCAGGCAUAGCUGAAUUUAAAAAUAGAAAUAAGAGCCUCAUUCCAUGAUAUUAAACAUAUUGGGAGGUUUUCAAUCGUCUUUAAGGAGACUUAGAUUAAAAUUGAGAGAGUAAUUACAGUAUCAGUAGUUUAUAUGAAUAAACCUAAUUUUCUCUAAAAAGAUUCCUAAUUAAUGGAUAGAAUAAGUGUAGUAGAUGUAUUAUAUUUGGAACUUAGCAAUACAUUUACUAUCAUGUCUCAAAAUUUUAAUUGAAAAGUUAAUUUAAAUUAGCAUUCAUAUGAACUGUCUUGUGAUUUGAAACUGUGCUAUGUGGCCAUCUUCAUUCCUAAAUUCUGCCAUUUCUCUGAAAACUAUCGUUUGUUAGAGAACACUAGAGACCUAUAUGAAGUCCAUUGUACAGAAGCAGCUGAGCUGUGAAAGAAAUUAUUACAUAG